UACGUAGGGGGGCUAGCGUUGUCCGGAAUUACUGGGCGUAAAGCGCGUGUAGGCGGAACGGUUAGUCGGACGUGAAAGGCUCGGGCUCAACCCGAGAUGGCCGUUCGAAACUGCCGUUCUUGAGGGUCGAAGAGGAGAGUGGAAUUCCUGGUGUAGCGGUGAAAUGCGCAGAUAUCAGGAGGAACACCGGUGGCGAAGGCGGGUCUCUGGGCCGAUACUGACGCUGGAGGAGCGAAAGCGUGGGGAGCGAACAGG
rnacentral:rRNA from 1 species